CACCGCCUGAUGUUGUCUGUUGGCGCGCUCUGGGGAUUGGAACCAAUACAAGAACCUUUCAAUGAGAAACAAAAAGUUCACCACAGAAGAGAGAAAAAGGACAUUCCAGGUUGAUGUGAAAAUGAAAUGCUGUAAUGGCAUUUGUUCAUUAACCUAAUGAGGGAAGCCAUUCUCUACAGGAGCAUGAAGAGGGGACUCUAGGAGAGAAUCCCCCAGGUGCCACCAGCAGUUCCCUGCCAUGUGGUCCUUUCCACUUCCUGUAAAACAAUCCUGAGUUCCAGGAAGAAACACACUCAGCUAACACAUUGCUCGUUUGCUUCCUCAAGGCCAGAAGGAGUAUUUCUUUCUCCAGUCUGCUAAUACAGAGUCUCAUAUAAGAAAAACAAAGCAAGAAAACAGCAACAAUAACAAUAGCAGUGUGGUUCACCGAGUAUGUGCCCAAGGCAUGAAAGAGAGGAGCACAAUUUCCUUGACAGAGCUGAGAUUGUGUUCUGCUUACUUCUGUGGGAAUCGGGAAUACAAUGCUUCCGUCUUGAACCAUGAUGACAAGGGCCACACCUUACAGGUGGAGGAGUUUGGUUAAUGAAGAACUUAGUGGGACAGUGCUGCCAUGCUGAUCCUGCCAUAAUGACCUGUAAGCUCUUGGG
rnacentral:lncRNA from 1 species